AGUUAUUGGGCUGCUUUCGACUGGAGGCAAAUUAAGUUAUUGGGCUGCUUUCUUCGACUCGAGUCGUAUCAAUUUAUUGGGGUGCUUUCGACUCGAGUCAAGUUAAGUUAUUGGUGUGCUUUCGACUCGAGUCAAGUUAAAUUAUUGGUGUGCUUUCGACUCGAGUCAAGUUAAGUUAUUGAGCUUCUGCUUAUUUGAGUUAUUGUGCUUUCGACUCGAGUCAAGUUAAGUUAUUGAGCUUCUGCUUAUUUGAGUUAUUUGAGUUUCUGCUUAUUUUUUAAGGUAGUAAUAUAACCACUCAGCACAGCAUUUCUACAUUGGUACUACCUACACUGGUACAGACAGUUUAAGUUAUUGAGCUGCUUUCUUCGACUCGAGUCGUAUCAAUUUAUUGGGGUGCUUUUGACUCGAGUCAAGUUAAGUUAUUGGGCUGCUUUCGACUGGAGUCAAGUUAAGUUAUUGGGCUGCAUUCUUCGACUCGAGUCUUAUUAAUUUAUUGGGGUGCUUUUGACUCAAGUCAAGUUAAGUUAUUGGGCUGCUUUCGACUCGAGUCAAAAGUCAAGUUAUUUGGGUGCUUUUGACUCGAGUCGUGUCAAGUUAUUGAGGUGCUUUUGACUCGAGUCGCAUCAAGUUAUUGGGGUGCUUUCGACUCGAGUCGAGUCAAGUUAUUGGGGUGCUUUCGACUCGAGUCGAGUCGUGUCAAAUUGUUGGGGUGCUUUCGACUCGAGUCGAGUCGUGUCAAAUUGUUGGAUGAAAAAUCCGUUGUUUCACAUUUCACCACAAGAGGCCCUAUUAAUAUUAUCUACUGUCUAUUAAUAUUAUUGCCUAUUCAGAAAUAAAUUUUAUGGAAG